rnacentral:rRNA from 1 species
UGGAAACGACCGCUAAUCCCCCAUAUGCCUAUUGGUGAAAUGAAUUUCGCCUGAGGAUGAGCUCGCGUCUGAUUAGCUAGUUGGUGAGGUAAUGGCUCACCAAGGCUUCAAUCAGUAGCUGGUCUGAGAGGAUGA